GUAGGCGGCAAGCGUUGUCCGGAAUUAUUGGGCGUAAAGCGCGCGCAGGCGGUUCUUUAAGUCUGAUGUGAAAGCCCACGGCUCAACCGUGGAGGGUCAUUGGAAACUGGAGAACUUGAGUACAGAAGAGGAAAGCGGAAUUCCACGUGUAGCGGUGAAAUGCGUAGAGAUGUGGAGGAACACCAGUGGCGAAGGCGGCUUUCUGGUCUGUAGCUGACGCUGAGGCGCGAAAGCGUGGGGGAGCAAACAGGAUUAGAUACCCUGGUAGUCCACGCCGUAAACGAUGAGUGCUAAGUGUUAGGGGGUUUCCGCCCCUUAGUGCUGCAGCUAACGCAUUAAGCACUCCGCCCUGGGAGUACGGCCGCAAGGCUG
rnacentral:rRNA from 1 species